GACGAACGCUGGCGGCGUGCUUAACACAUGCAAGUCGAGCGGAGCGGCGAACGGGUGAGUAACGCGUGAGUAACUGCCCCCCUCUCGGGGAUAACAGUUGGAAACGGCUGCUAAUACCGGAUAGUGGGGGAUGACUCGCGUCAUAUCAGCUUGUUGGUGGGGUAGUGGCCUACCAAGGCGACGACGGGUAGCCGGCCUGGGAGGGGGGCCGGCCACAUUGCGCUAAGCUACGGCCCAGACUCCUACUGGAGGCAGCAGUGGUGAAUAUUGGACAAUGUGGGAUAUCCUUGUGCAGCAACGCCGCGUGCGGGAUGACGGCCUUCGGGUUGUCAACCGCUUUCAGCCAUGACGCGGUAGUGGCAGAAGUAGCACCGGCUAACUACGUGCCAGCAGCCGCGGUAAUAC
rnacentral:rRNA from 1 species